AUAUAAUAUUUGCAUCUCCUAAGAAACAGUGGAACUUAGAAGAAUGGUUAUAGAUUUUUAGGAGAUAAGAAUUCUAAUUCAAACAUCAUGAUUGAUGAUGGACUUUAAAGUAAGAAGGAUUCUAGAAAACAACCCGUUAGCUAAUGACAUUGAGGAAAUUGAAGAACUCUGGAUGACUACAGUAUUAAAUUUGUCUUUACUGAGAAACCUCCUGACUCGGCACUGAUUUAUCUACAGAAAAUGUCUUCCCAACUUGUCAUACGUUCUUCUGUUUUUAUAUUGAAGUUGUUUUCAGUGAAAUAUGUUUUAUAACUUGAGCUUAGCUUUCUCCAUACAGGACUUUCACUGUACAGCACUUGAUCUAGGUCUGCCAUGGGGCUAGCUACUGCAAGAUUUACUCAAAGAGUACAAAGUCUCCAAAGACCUGGCACAGAUCUGAAUCCUAGAGAAUAUCAUUCAGAACUAGUCAUCCUCAAGUUGAUCAUUGGUCCCAUACAAAGUUCAAAACAAAAGCUGUUUGACAAGAGUAACAUUCAGGAAGAUGUAAUGAAGAAGUUAAGUGCUGAAUAUUUCUGAAAACUCUUUAGUUCCUAAGGAAGUAAAUAAUAAAAUUGAAUUUCCUUAUCAGGCA